GUUUUUCUCUUCCAUUUGUGCGGCACUGUAGAGAGAAGGGAGUGAGAUAGCGAGGCAGAGAGAGGAAGAGGCGCUCGGGGCAGCGGAGCGAUUCCUUGCUGUUCAUGUCGAUUCCGGGAUCCCCCACCAGUGGAGCUUGAUUUCUCUCUCCUUCCUCUUCGAUUCCCCACUCCUGCUGUUGGAAUUUCUCAAUGUCUUCUUCAUCGAGGUCUGCAUGCCAGGGGUUUUCUUCUGUUGCACCUUCUUCGGUUGGUGUAGUUUCAGUUUCAUUUCGUCGAAUGUCUGCAGAAUAGUUCUGAAGCUGAGGGGUGGAGAGGGGUUUCCUUUCCUUUUCCGUGCGUGGCAAGUUGAUGGCAAGCAGGGAAGUUGUGGCCAGCUGUUAGCUGUGGUCCAGCGAGGGUUUGGUGGGGCUGGUUUACUGGAAACCGGGUCAGGGUUUUGCCUGACCCGUUUUUGCCGAAAUACAGAAAAUAAAGUGGCUGGUGGGAGGGUUUUUGGGACAUACAGGUGUCAUCUGUUCAUUUGCUACGAAAUUUGAACGUUGUCAAAUUAAAAAACAGUCGAAUGUCAAAUAGACAGUCCCUAAAAAUAAGAUAAAUAUUUUGUUUGGGA